GACAGAGGGUGCAAACGUUGUUCGGAAUUACUGGGCGUAAAGCGAGUGUAGGCGGUUAGAUAAGUCGGGUGUGAAAGCCCUGGGCUCAACCCCAGGAAGUGCACUCGAUACUGUUUAGCUAGAGUAUCGGAGAGGUUGGUGGAAUUCUCGGUGUAGAGGUGAAAUUCGUAGAUAUCGAGAGGAACACCGGUGGCGAAGGCGGCCAACUGGACGAAUACUGACGCUGAGACUCGAAAGCGUGGGGAGCAAACAGG
rnacentral:rRNA from 1 species